AUUCUUCUCCUUCCUCCCUCUCUCUAAAAAAACAAUUGCUCUCCCUUCUCUCUAGAACCAAAAACCAGUGCCCCUUUUUCCUUCUCUUCUCCGGCGAGUGCAGUUUUCCGGCGCGGUGGCCGGUGGUGGCACCACCGCGCCGGAGUUCCAAAACUCCACCAAAUUCAAAAAAAAUUUCAGUUUUAAAUAUCCUUUUUCUUGCUAAACCCAAAUCCGGUCUCAGAAUUUCCAAAACAAACUCGUACAAGUCUAGAUCUAGGAACAAAGAUUCAAAAAAAAAGUGAGCAAAAAAUACCUCUACUCUCUCUCUCCGGUUCGGUUUGGUUGCUCUCUCCCUUGUUCCGGUUCGGUUGCUCCGGUUCGUGCUUGCUUUCCCUCUGGUCCGAUUCGUCUCUGUCUGUUUUGGUUCGGUUCUGAUUUUCUAAACUUUGGUUUUGGAUUGUGUUUGUGGUGCUUGGAUUAUGUGAUGUUUAUGUUGAUUUCUGGAAAAAAUUAGGAGGAUGAAAGCUCAUGCAUAUUCAUGAAUGUUGUUGGUGAUAUUCAUAUUUGUUCUUAUGAUUUUUGUGUUUGAUCUGGUAAAGAGGAGAGAGAGAAGGAAAUUGUGUUUGUGACUUGAUUGGAAAAAAUGUGUGGUUGCUGAUUUUUCUGUGAACAGUGAUCUCUCUGGCCCAUUUCCCAAUGAUUGACAGGGUUUUUAUAGUGACAAACUAGGGUUGGCUCUGGUACAAACAAAUGACCAAAAUGCCCCUGCAGCUGAGACUUGGAGAAAAAGAUUUGACCAAAAAGAUAAAUAGAUAAAUAAAAAAACAAAAUGAAUAAAAUAAAUAAGAAAAUAAUAAAAAAAUAAAAGAAAAGAAAAGAAAGAAAGAGGUCACGUGAGUGACUUCUUUUUGUUUUUUUUCUAAAAAAAAAAAAUAAAAAAGAAUAAAUAAUAAUAAACAAACUAGUCUAAAAAGAAAAUAAAAAAGUCCCUUCGGAAUCUGACAUGAGGUACUUCAAAGUAUCCUCCCUGCCGAAAUUUCGAUUGAAAAGAUUAAUAAAAAAAACGCCUUUUAAAAUGCGAUUAGCCAUUUUAAAAUGACUUGUCUGUUAUGACUAAAAGGAUUAUAAAAUGCGUUUAUAAAAAUGCAAAUGGAGUGAUUUUAAAUGUUGUAAAAAAUGCAAGCGAGGACUUAAAUGCAAGAUGAAAGUUUUUAAAUGAUUAAUGACGAAAAACACGAGUUUUAAAAGGUAAAAAAACGAAUAAAAGAGAAUCUGAACUAUUAAAAAAUGUGGACAAAAAAGAUUUCAAAUGGUCCAAAUUUGGGGUAUGACAAAUGUCAAUUUUUUUUCAAAGAGAAGCUAUAAUUAUUAUCAUCUAAAAAAUGCUAACAUUGUAGCCAUAAGUGCCGUAACAAUGUUUUAUUUCUCAAAAUUGUGUUUAAUUACCACAAUACUUUUACCUGUACUCUUGAUAGUGGAAGGAAGUCAAAGAGAAAAAUAGAGUAACACCUCUCAAUUCCAAAGAGGCUCUCUUGAGGGAGUCUUCUUUCUUGUAGGAUCCCGUAGCUAGUGCCACUAGUUAUCAGCUCCAAAUUCAUGUCUAUAUUUACCUGAGAAUUAUUACAAGAAUUCAACAUCUCUAUUUGGUAAUGAAUUGACUGUAAGAAUGUAGUUCCUAGAUUUCCAUUCAUAUGUUUUGUGAAUAAUAUACAAUUAUUGUCAAUCCUAUUUUAGAAAUUAAAUAAUUACUAGUGAAUAUAAUUCCUAGUUAAUGAAUUUAUAAUGAAUAUUUUCAAGUCAAACAUACAAUAAAUAUAUACAUAUUCUAAUAUUGACGAAUGGGAAAAAUUUAAAGAAGUAGAAGAAGGAGGAGGCUCAAAACAAGACAAUGUCUCUGGAGUGUGUUUCCUUUGUUUUUGAAACUAAUAUUAAGGUUGUUGUUCUUAGAGUGUAAGUUUAGUAGUAAAAUUAAAGUUUGAUUUUGAAACCAUUUCUAACUUUGUGUAUAGCCAAUGAAAGAGCGUGUGAAAGAAAUAUUACGUUAAGGAGAAAAAGGAAGGAAAAAAAAAAGAAUAAAACAACAAAAUACACAUUUAUAUAGAUGAUAUUAUAUUUAGGGACAAACACUUUAUUUUGUAAAUGAUAUUGUAAUUAGAGAGGAAGGGAAUACGUUCUAUGCUUGCCAAGAAAGUUUAAAGGACAAAUUAUUUAAAUUAAAGUGUGCGAAUGGUCAUAAACGUAA
rnacentral:lncRNA from 1 species